GACGAACGCUGGCGGCGUGCUUAACACAUGCAAGUCGAACGGAAAGGCCCUGCUUUUGUGGGGUGCUCGAGUGGCGACCGGGUGAGUAACACGUGAGUAACCUGCCCUUGACUUUGGGAUAACUUCAGGAAACUGGGGCUCAUACCGGAUAGGAGCUCCUGCUGCAUGGUGGGGGUUGGAAAGUUUCGGCGGUUGGGGAUGGACUCGCGGCUUAUCAGCUUGUUGGUGGGGUAGUGGCUUACCAAGGCUUUGACGGGUAGCCGGGCUGAGAGGGUGACCGGCUACGUUAAAAUGGAGAUACGGCCCGGACUCCAACGGGAGGGAAGGGUGGGGUAGGGUGCACUGUAGGCGGAGCGCUAGUGCAGCAAAGCCGCGUGCGGGAUGACGGCCUUCGGGUAGGAAACCACAGUCGCCUUUGACGAAGCGUUAAUGACGGUAAUGGGUAAAGAAGCACCGGCUAACUACGUG
rnacentral:rRNA from 1 species